rnacentral:lncRNA from 1 species
GAUUUAUUUUGAUCAUGGGGAUAUUUUUCCUUGAUUUUAUGCACUUUCUAUGUAUAGUGGCAUUAAAUUAGGAAAGUUGGCUCAAAGCCACUAGUAUAAAUAGGUGGUAUUAUGUUCAUUUCAUGAUCAAGCUUUCAUCUUCUGAAAUAUAAUCUCUCCUUCCUUCUCGCAAAUUUAUUUGCUUUCAUUGGUUCAUUAUUUUUUUAUUUGUUAAUUUCCAGCUUUGGAACAUUGCAUUAGUAGCCAAACCCCCGCGUCACCAACCUACACCCACCACUUAUGUUUUUUUUUUUCGAAUCCCCUUUUCAUUUCAGAUAUAUCAAACUCCAACAUGUCCUAAACUUUAGUCAACUAAACCCUUUUUAGCUUUAGAACGGUGUCAAAGACCCGUGAGUUACGAACCCGAGCAAUUUAAUUUCUAAUUUUCAGUACUUAUUAUUUCUCCGGAUUAAGAGUAUGACUUCAUCAACUCACAAAGUUAAAUCAACACUAAGUCAAAAAGGACGUCGUUUGAGUUAGAGCUAGUUUGGCAAUACUUUUGAAAAAUGUUGUGGAAAAGUGCUUUUGAGAAGUGUUUUUGAAAAGUUUGGUUUAAAAUUUGAGUGUUUAGCAUUGCUGUCAAAAAGUGCUUUUGAGAAAUAAAAUGUCCAUUUUAGACAUGUUAUUAUCAAGUAACAAAUAUGUAUUUAAAUAAUAUUUAAAUUAGUUAAUAUUAUUAUAUUUUAGCAAGAAUAUAAAAAAUUAUUAUAGCUUGUUAAUAUUUUAAUAUAUAAAAUAUAAAUUUUAAAUAUUUUUAAGCAAUAAAUAUUAAUUAUUUAUAAAAUUUAAUUAGAAUAUAUAAACUAUAUUUUAAAUAUUUAAAUAUAACUAUUAAAUAUUUGUAAUUAGUAUUUUAAAAAAUAUUUUUUAUUUUUAAUUAAUGAUUUUAACACAUUUGUAAUUAAGCACCAAGAAAAAAAGUACUAUACUAUUGGAGGUGUGAAAAACUAAUUAAGCACCGAAAGUACUUUUGGGAGAGGAAAAGCUAAAAUUUUUAGCUUCUCCUUUUUAGAAGUACUUUUCAAAAGCACUUCUGAAAAGCUAAAAAUUUUAGCCAAAAGCAGCUUGUUCUGCACAGCUUUUCUUUCAAAUGUGCUUUUGGAGUCAGAAGUGCUUUUUUUAAGCAAUGAAGAACUGGCCCUUAGUGUGGUUAGACGUACAGUUGGAAUUCCGAAAGGAUCGAUUGUCUAAUCAGUUUUCUGUGAACACAUUGGCGUGCCAAGUGGGGAUUGUUGUUUAAUUUCGUCAAGGAAAGUAGUAACCAGAUUUAAAUGUCCCACGGGAUUGAGGGCAUUGGUUCGUGCUAGGCUCUUCUAGAACGCAAAGUUGUCGGAGUUCUAAAUCACGAACGUUUCGUAGGUUGUUCAAUCGGCAAGGGUUAAUUAUAGGACGUUCCAUAACUAAUUUACACAAGGAAGAGCUGGUGUUCGAGGCGUCCUUGGUAGCUAUAACUAGCUUAUUGGAAAAGAGGAGUUCAUCCAAUUUCGAGGAUCGGUUCAAAGACGGAAAAACCCGUGCCUGAAGCUGAGCUAAAUUUAAUUGAUUUUUCUUCAAAUCUACUUAACUAUUUUUCUUAUUUAAUUGUCUUCAGCUUUUACUGUUUACACAUUUUUUUCCUCUGUUCAUGUCAGGAUUCAUAUUUUAUCCCCCCAAACUUCUUGGGCACGACAACUUCCUAGACAUAAAUCUGGUCGAGAGAGGAACAAUUUUCAGUAAACCCAGUCUCUGAGGGAUCGACCCUACUCCCUAUACUAUUCAAAUUUGCAAAUUAGGUGUAGGGUUAUAUUGGUGGAAUCAACAACCAUCAGUUUUGGCGCCGUUGCCGGGGACUGGUAACACUUACAAUUGUUUAAAUCAUCUUCAUGACUAGAUAUUCAUCCGGAGAUUUCGAAUACGACACAGAGAUUGAGAAAUUGGCAUGAGCACGAUGAAAAGAGACGGAAGCUCUUAAACGUACAAGUAAAGUAGAAGUUGAGCUAAGACAAUGGAGCUUAGAAUCCGACAUCGAAAAGUUGAGCGAAGCAAUUUAAGCAGAGGCAAUUCGACGUGGGAAACAAGUCGAAGUGGUUGAACCUGAGACCGAACCACUUUUUGAAAUAAAAGAAGUAAAAGACAACCUCGAUGAACUAGAAAGGAUGGCAAACCGAACCAUUCGUCAACUAGUCGCUGCUCCCAAUGAGCAAAAACUAUUAUGUAUCAACUAUCCAACUGGAGAAACCCCGUUCGAGUUAAAAUCAGGCCUGAUUCACCUUUUGCCCACUUUUCGAGGCUUGAAGAACGAAAAUCCACACACUCACUUAAGAGAAUUCCACAUGGUCUGCUCAAGCAUGAAACCUCAGGGAGUAACCGAAAAUGAAAUUAAACUUCGGGCAUUUUCUUUUUCUUUAGUUGAAACAGCAAGAGAAUGGUUAUUUUACUUACCCCCCAGUUCUAUUACAACGUGGGAUGACUUAUCUCAUGUAUUUCUUGACAGAUUCUUUCCAGCAUUGUGAGCAGCUGAACUUAGGAGAGACAUGGUAUAAAUUCGCCAAUUGGAGAGUGAAUCGCUCUAUGAUUAUUGGGAGCGGUACAAAAAACUGUGUGCAAGUUAUCCUCAGCACGGUUUGACCUAACAAUCACUUUUUCAAUAUUUCUACGAGGGUUUGCUCUCUAUGGAAAUGAAUAUGAUUGACGAUGCUAGUGGAGGGGCGCUUGUCAAUAUGACUCCUCAAAGGGCAAGAGAAUUGAUAUCCACUAUAGCGGUAAAUUCUCAACAGUAUCGGCUGAAUUCAGAACCCUCAAGACGGGUUAAUGGGGUAAACGUUUCAUCCUUAAAAGAUAAAUUGGAUAGGCUUACUAAUAUUGUUCAAUCUUUACUUACAGAAAAAAAGAAUCUGACCCAAUUAUGUGGAAUUUGUACUACCUUUGAGCAUCCGACGGAUUUAUGCCCAAUCCUUAACGACAAUUCAACGACACAUGUUGAUGUUAUCAGAGGUUUUCCAGAACCUCCGCAAAGACGCUAUGAUCCUUUCUCCAACACCUACAAUCCCGGAUGGAAGGAUCAUCCUAACUUGAAUUACGAAGCUAAUCCCCGAUAUAACCCAUCAUACCAACCGAGACCUCCACAACCGCCACAACAACAACCAAAGCCAAGCACAUCUUUAGAAGCUGUUGUGGAAAGAUUUGCCGUCAAUAUUGUAAAAUACCAACAGAAGAUAGAUGCAUCAAUACAAGAGUUAACUAAUCAAGUUAGUAAACUCUUGAUAGCAGUUAAUCGUUUGGAGUCUCAAGGUAAAUUACCUUUCCAGAUGGAGUCAAAUCAUCGGCAGAAUGCAAGUGCAAUAACUCUUUAUAGCGAAGAGGUUCUGGAAACAGUUCCAGACAAAAGUCAUGGGCAAGACUAGGAACAAGAAAAGUAGAUCUCUGAUCCAAAAGCCAAACCAGAAUCAGAAAUUUAGAAACCAGAUGUGAUGCCACCUCUUUCUCCCGGGAGGCUCACAAAGGAUAAGAAAGAGAAGUAGGAAAAAGAAAUUCUCGAAACAUUCAGAAAGGUGGAGGUAAAUAUCCCUUUGCUCGACGCUAUCAAACAAAUCCCUCGCUAUGCAAAAUUUCUCAAGGAAUUGUGUACUAGCAAGAGGAGGUUAAUAGGGAACGAAAGAGUAAAUGUAGGAGAAAAUAUUUCCGUAGUACUGUAAAAGAAUGUUCCGCCCAAAUACAAGGACCAAGGUAUGUUUGCCAUUUCCUGUGAGAUAGGUAAUGUAGGCAUUAAGAAAGCUAUGUGUGAUUUAGGGGCUUCCAUUAAUGUUAUGCCUUAUUCUAUUUAUAAGUUGAUUAACGCGGGUCCUUUAAAAGAAACAUGAGUAAUAAUCUAGUUGGCGGACAGGUCAGUUGUCUAUCCCGAAGAGUUGCUUGAAGACGUCCUUGUUAAAGUUAACGAAUUAGUUUUCCCUGCAGAUUUCUACAUUAUUAAUAUGGAGGAUGGUAGCUCAACUAAUUCGUCUGACAUUUUGCUUGGAAGGCCGUUCCUAAGUACCAUAAGCGCAAAAAUUGACGUUUAGAGCGGAACACUAAGAAUGAAGUUUGAUGGCGAAAUCGUAAAAUUCAAUGCCUACGAAGCUAUGGGUCAUCCUAACUCAUUAUUAAAUAUUUCUAGUAUCGAUAGUAUAGAUUGUUUAACUCAAUCUUAUUCCAAAUAUCAUGACUUUGAUGAGUUGGAAACUGUCUUUUACAGAAGCAUUGACAUGAAUGUUUUAAAUCAUCUCGAGGAAUUAGCAAUUAUAGAAGAUUUGUUGCGAGAAAUUGUCAAACACUUAGAGACGCAACCAUCGUUGACGAACCGAGGUAACCAAUUUGAACUAUCGCCUUUCCAAACUAAAAUGUUGCCCUCGGUUUUGCAGCCAACAACCUUGGAGCUUAAAGCAUUACCGAACCACCUUAAGUAUGUCUUUUUGGGUGAGAAAGAUACAUUACCGGUGAUAGUGUCAAACAAACUAACCAAAGACGAGGGGGAAAGUCUAGUUCGAGUUCUAAGAGAUUAUAAGGAAGCUAUUGGUUGAAUGAUAGCCGACAUAAAAAGGCUAAGUCCAUCCACUUGUAUGCACAAAAUUUCCAUCGAAGAUAACACGAAACCAAAGAGAGAUGCUUAAAGGCGCCUUAAUCCACCCAUGAUGGAGGUAGUAAAGAAGGAGAUCUAGAAACUGUUCGAUGUUGGAAUGAUAUACUCGAUCUCUGACAGUGAUUGGGUUAGCCCGGUUCAUGUCGUGCCCAAGAAAACUGGCAUGACAGUGGUGAAAAACUCGUUAGGAGAACUAGUCCUUACCCGAGUCCAAAAUAGAUGGAGGGUUUGCACUGAUUAUAGGAAGUUGAUGCAGCUACCCGAAAAGACCAUUUUCCACCUCCCUUUUAUCGAUCAAAUGCUCGAGCGAUUAGCUGGUAAGACCCAACAUUGUUGUCUCGAUGGGUAUUCGGGAUUUUUCCAAAUUUCGGUGGCGCCAGAUGAUUAAGAGAAAACAACUUUCACGUGCCCCUUCAGAACGUUCGCAUAUAGACGGAUGCCGUUUAGACUCUGUAAUGCUCCAGCCACUUUCUAGAGAUGCAUGGUGAGCAUAUUCUCCGAUUAUGUCGAGAAAAUCAUUAAAGUUUUUAUGGAUGACUUCAUGGUAUACGGUAACUCUUUUAACGAAUGUCUCGAUAAUCUUACUAAGAUAUUACAAAGAUGCCUAGGAUUUAAUCUUGUUUUAAAUUAUGAGAAAUGCCACUUCAUGGUUGACAAAGGAUUAAUUUCGGGUCAUAUAGUUUCCUCGGAAGGAAUUGAGGUCGAUAAGGCAAAAAUGAAUAUUAUUAACUCGUUACCUUACCCCACAUCUGUGAGGAAAGUUCGUUCGUUUCUUGGCUAUGCAGGAUUUUAUAGACAAUUCAUGAAACACUUCUCGAAAAUCGUGCAACGACUUUGCAGUUUGUUACAAAAGGAUAAAGGAUUUGAAUUUGACCAGACUUGUAAAGACGCAUUUGGCGUGCUGAAUCAGAAAGUGGUCUCCGCUCACAUAGUGCAACCACCAAAUUAGAACUUUCCGUUCGAAAUCAUGUGUGAUGCAAGUGACCGAAAUGUGAGAGCUAUUCUUGACCAAAGAAUAGGGAAAGAGCCUCAUGUUAUCUACUAUGCUUCGAAGACUUUGGAUGCUGCCCAAAGCAAUUACACAACCACUGAGAAAGAAUUAUUAGCUGUUGUGUUUGCUUUAGACAAAUUUAGAUCUUAUCUAUUGGGAACUAAAGUGAUUAUCUUUUCUGAUCAUGCAGCUUUGAAAUAUUUAAUAGGGAAAAGGAGGCAAAACCUCGAUUAGUUAGGUGGAUUCUACUCUUACAAGAGUUCAAUUUUAAAAUCCGGGAUAAAAAGGGAUGCGAAAACUUAGUAGCUGACCAACUGAGUCGAUUACUGAUUCCAGUAGACGACACACCAUUGAAAGACAACUUCCUAGAUGAAAACCUAUUUUCAGCAAAUGCGAUUCAUCCUUGGUAUGCAGACAUAGUAAAUUAUCUCAUUACAGGUACUGUUCCUUCGGAAUUACCAAGGUCUAAAAAAGAUAAGAUAAAAAAGAUGCGCGGUAUUACAUUUGGGAUGAUCCUUACCUUUGGAAGCAUUGCUCAGAUCAGGUAAUUCGACUGUGUGUAGUAGAAACAGAGGUACAAUCCAUCUUAACUUUUUGUCAUUCUUAUGCAUGUGGAGGACACUUUGGACCUAAACGCACUGUACAUAAAAUUCUUGAAUGUGGACUAUUUUUGCCAAACAUAUUUCGUGAUGCCUUUUUAUUCUGCAAAACUUGUGAAAGGUGCCAAAAAACUGGCAACCUUAGUCGUCGAAAUGAGAUGCCCCUUACUCCUAUCCAUAUUUGCAAAAUUUUCGAUGUGUGGGGCAUCGAUUUUAUGGGUCCUUUCAUUUCUUCUCUCGGUAAUUUUUAUAUACUCUUAGCUGUUGAUUAUGUCUUUAAGUGGAUAGAAGCGAAAGCCACUCGCAAUGAUAAUGCUAAGACUGUAGUUGACUUUCUUAAAAGUUCUAUCUUUUCCAGGUAUGGCACUCCACGAGCAUUAAUCAGUGACAGAGGAACUCAUUUUUGCAAUAAGCUCGUAAGUGCACUUAUGGAGAAAUAUGGAGUGACUCAACGAAUUGCCACUGCUUACCAUCCACAAACAAACGGGCAAGCUGAAGUGUCGAAUCGAGAAAUCAAGUCUAUUUUGGAAAAGACUGUUAAACCUAACAGAAAGGAUUGAAGUUUGAGACUAAAUGAUGCACUUUGAGCUUAUAGGACAGCUUACAAGGGACCAAUACGCAUGUCACCUUAUUGACUCGUUUUUGAUAAAUCGUGCCAUCUCCCAGUCGAAUUAGAGCACAAGGCAUUUUGGGCAGUUAAGCAGUGUAAUAUGGAGAUGGAGUCUGCAGGAAGGUCUCAGAAGUUAGACAUCCAGGAACUUGAGGAAAUUAAAAACGAUACAUAUGAAAAUGCUCGAGUUUAUAAAGAAAAGAGGAAGGCAUUUCAUGAUAAGUUUUCAAUAGGACAAAAAUUUCUCUUAUACGACUUCACCUUAAAAAUUUUUGCUGGUAAGCUUCGAUCCAAAUGGAUAGGUCCAUUUACUAUUACCAAUUUAUUCUUGAAUGGUGCAAUGGAAAUUCAAAGCGAAAAAACCCGGAAGUGUUUUAAGGUGAAUGGUCAACGACUGAAACCAUUUUACAAGAAUUUUCAAAUGCACACAGUUGAGGAGAUUGCUCUCGAGGAGCCCAGAAUUUGAAUAAUAGGUCGUCGAGCUAAUGACGAUAAAAAAAGCGCUAUUGGGAGGCAACCCAAAUUUUCCCUUUAUGCAAAUAAAAUUUUUGGAAGGUAAAACGGAAAGUGAAAAUGUAUUUCGAGAAUCGGUUCUAUCUAAGGAAAGACUUAGUACUUAAGAAUGUCCAUUGUGACUCACCUCUCUUUCUUGGGAACUGACCUGGUGCAUUUAUCACGACUAUUUUACUAAAUUCCAUAAUCUUGGUUUUUAAUUUAUUUAUUGAAUAUUUAAGCAUAGACUUAACUAAUUCGAGAAAUAAAAAAAUACACAUUUUAUUUAUUUAAUUUUAUCUUAUUUUUAUUUUAUUUCGCAGGUAAACCUUCCAAAAUAAAAUUAAAGCUCCUAUGUCAGCCCAUAAAAUUCUUCUAAUUUUAGUUAAGGCCCAAACUACCUACCCACCAUUUAACCUAACCAUUAUCCAAGCUAACCCAUUAACUACAAACCACCAUUAACCCAUCAGACCUACCCAAAUUCAAACCCAAAAUAAAAAAUCACCCUAAGCCCAAUAAAACCCCCCAAACCGUCCACCUAUCUAAAAGAAAUAAAAAAACCCUAACCUUUCACCCAUCAAAUUCUAUCCAUCUUUUCACCUAGAAAACUACAACUCCACUACCCCCAUUUUAACUCACCUCUCUCUCCUUAACUGUCUAUCCUUUUUAAAAGAAGCCCAACCUUUCACCUAUCAAAUCAUAGCCAUCUACCUAUCUUUUACCUAGGAAAACCCCAACCCACUAUCAAUUUUGAUCGGCCAAAAUUAAAGAAAAAAAAAAGCUAAAACAUUUUUCAAAUAUUACAUUUUUUCUUUUUACUAAACCCCUUCCAUUUUAACCAUCAACACCACCACUCACCUCCACUCGUUAACACCAUCCUAGCAUGGUCCGCACACGUGACUGUACGGCAUAAGAACCGCCCUCCGCGGUAAACCGACGACGAAACUGCUUUUCCGCUCCACCCUUUGUAACCAUCGACUCCGACGAGUCUCCUCCCUCUCUGCCGCCGCAACCGCGUCAUCUUAGGAGAAAUCAAAGCCUAACUUCGAUUGCCGUUGUCUACCAGUCCCAUGAGCCCCCUAUUUCAGACUACCAUCCUCCAAACAGCCCAGUCGAACCACCAAACUCAUUCGAUAGCCAAGACCGUCCUUUCCCCUUACCAAACUUACAUGCACAACAACCAACAUGGUCAGGGCUUUCAAGAAGAACUCCGCGACCGCCAAGCGAUAGUGUUGAAUCAGAUUCGACGCAAAGAUGAACCCGUGCUCACCAACAGCCACCGUUGGCCGGUUUAUCAACUCCGACGGCAGAUGAUGCCAAAAAUAGCAGAGAUAAAACGAAUGAUGAUAGAAGUCGAGCCUCCGACCAUCAGGACACUGACUAUCGCCCACGUGAGCGCGGCCGAUUUUGACAAGGAAGAGGAUUCAUACCCCUGGAGAACAGACUCUGCAGGAAUCUAACAUUCAUGAACCUGACACACUAAGCACGAAUCAAACAAAUCUAGCAUUGCCCUCUUCCAAUCUGUAAGCACGUACACCCAUUCUCAUUAUACUGUUUAGACAUUGAAGAACCUGUUAAUCAAUAUUUUGACACUAUUGGAUGGACUGAUUUUGCUGCCAUUGAUGAACCUACAUAUUAUGAGUUGGUUUUUAAAUUUUAUUCUACAUUUCAUUUCAACCGCUCUGCUAACACUGUGGACACACCUCGCGCUGUCUAUUUUUGCUUGCUUGGUGUGCAUUAUAAUCUGUCAAUUUCUGAGUUUAAUGUUGCUUUGGGAUUUGUUAGUGAGGACUAUUUAGCAACUGAUGACUAUUAUGAAUCAUAUCUCGACAUACCACUUGGCUUUGAUGCUAAUGAAGCUUUGGCUUUGUUAACUAAAAUGAGACAGAUAUCGUACGACCCGAAGCAUUGUAAAGACAUAGGAAUUCAUAGUCCUGCACUCAGAUACAUACAUAGAUUCCCUGCUUUCAAUUUUUUCGGACGUAAUGAUGCAUUUGCCUCUUUAACUAAGACUGAAUUAUUCUUUUUAUGGUGCAUGCAUUCGAGUAGGAUGGUGAAUUUAGGUUAUUGGUUUGCUAUUCAGUUUCACCAGAUUUUGCAGUCAAAUCGGCCGCUCAUUUUAGGUACAUACAUCACACGUUUGGCCUUCAAUUUGAAUCCAUCAGCUAUCAAUUUUAGUUCUUUAAAUUUGGCAUACAAAACAGAUGCUUUAGAUACAUAUUGCUUCGAUUCUAUGGGGCUACUUGUCGGUACCCAUUCUUCUUUUUAUUUUGUCCCUCCAGGUACAAGGACGGAUCGAUCACAUAGAGUGUUCCAACGAAGAUAGUAGCAUAGAAUAGAGCCCCCCAUGUCUGUCAAAACUCGAUUAACCCGAAUCGAGAAAGGACUCGACUCUUUACGCACCUUAGUAACAGACGUUCUCACACACCUACGAGGUCACCCUCCACGACAUUGAAAUACAUGGGGAGUUUCUUUUUCUUUCAUUUUUCCUACUUAUCUUUACUUUUUAUCCUUUAAUUCAAUUACAUUGGGACAAUGUAAAAUAAGUAGGGGGAGGGGAAUAUUGGUUCUAUUUUACUUAUCUGUCGUCGUUGUUUUUGCAUGUUUCUCGCAGAAGGUAAACAAUUUCCUUGAUAAAUUAGGAUGGUACACUUGUGGUUUGACCUAUUUAGCUAUUUAGUUUUUUACAUAUAAACUUUUCAAUAGCAUGGACUCAGUUGAAAAAAAGAGAAAAGAAAAAAUAAAUAAUAAUACUCAUCUGAUACGAAUGUUAAGGGUAAAAAUUAGGGUUAUACACCGGACCGAGUAAUCAGAACGUGGUGCUUGGGUUGUCAUCACAUCUCGUGUAAAAAGGUUCAUGUGGCUGUCCAAUUUCUUUGCACUCACUCCGCUAACAAGAUAUCACGAGUAGGGCGAAAUAACCUGCUCAGAGACAUCCGAAUCGAGUAACCAUAACAUGGUGCUUGGGUUGUCAUCAUGUCUCGCGUGAAAAAAUUCGAAAAUGUCCUAAGUACAAAAAUAAAUAAAAAUAAUAAAAUGAGGGGUAGGUCCUUAUUUCUUAGGCUAGGUUAUUUGAGAUGAUAAUAUGUAAGGACUAAAUUGUUGAAUUGUGCAAACCAUAGGGGUCAAGUCCUAUUAUGGAGGAAAUUUUUCCUUUUACAGAUACAUACAUAAUGCUCGAGGACUAACAUGAGCUAAGUAGGGGGAUUUGAUUAAAUGCUGAAGUUACCUAUUUUAUGUAAUUAAAUUGGUCAAUUUAUGAUAAUGCACCACUGAUUUUUCUAUGUUUGUAUUGAAUUUUAUACAAGGGUGCAAUUUGGGGCUAAAUAGAAGAAAAAGGAAACAAUUGGACUAGAUUGAAAGAAGAAGCAAAGAAGGGGGGUUGAAAUAGAAUUUCGAAAAGAUGUAAUUGGCUGAAAUUUUUUGAUUGACUUAGUUAGAGAUUUUUUACGGAUUUAUUUUGAUCAUGGGGAUAUUUUUCCUUGAUUUUAUGCACUUUUUAUGUAUAGUGGCUUUAAAUUAGGAAAGUUGGCUCAAAGCCACUAGUAUAAAUAUGUGGUAUUAUUUUCAUUUCAUGAUCAAGCUUUCAUCUUCUAAAAUAUAAUCGCUCCUUCCUUCUUGCAAAUUUAUUUGUCAUUGGUUCCUUAUUUUUUUAUUUGUUAAUUUCCAGCUUUGGAAACAUUGCACUAGCAGCCAGACCCUUGCGUCACCUGAUUAGAACCCGGCCACGAACGACCAUGAUUUCAGUUUGAAUUCAGCUUCUCAAGCUCCAUUUAGCUUGGUUCAGCUCACCUAAUUUUAUUUCAGCUCACAUGAGCUUAUUUCAGCUCGUUUGAGCUCGGUUUAAAUUCUUUUCAGCUCAUUAAUUUUAUUUGCUGGAAUUUUUGGACAUUUAAAUUAAGCAUUUGUUAAAGUUUACUAUAGCUCAUUAGUGUGUCCAAAAUUAGUACAAGUGUUUAAUUUGUCUUGUCUUAAUUAAAUUAAAUGUGUCUUGAUUUUAUUAAGUAUGUCUUAAAUUAAAACAUGAAUUAGUUAUGUUCAGCCGAAUUAAUGUGUCUUGUUUAGUUAAUAUUUAAUUUGUCACAAUGUCAAUUAGAGUAUUCACAUUAUGUUUUAAUUUAGUUCAGAUGAAUUUGUUUGAAUUAAUUAAGUUCAUGUGUUUUUAUUUAGGUGCAGCCGAAUUUGAAGAUUCAUUGGCUAGAUGCAUGCACGUAGAUUCAAUGAAUGUGAAGAUGCAUGUGCAACUGGUAUAAUGCAUUGAAGCUGAUUAAUUUUGGUUCUCCCCAAGGCAACUAUUCGGCCAAGAGAUAGCAGCCAUUCAACUUUCCAAGACAUGGCCGAUCCUCUCCUCAAAGCAACAUAAUUCUUUUCACACCAUCUGUUCACACCUUGGCUGUUUGGUUCAGCUUGUUCACACCAUGAGGCUUUACAAAACCAUCCAUUCACACUUCCAAGGGCUGCUCAAAUUCUCCUUAAAUGCUGGUGAUGUUUUAGCAAGAGUUGCUUCAUAAAUGGGCCAAAUUAAGAUCAUUAACCGGAUUUAGUUGCUGCCAAGAACUUUCAAGAUUCAUUUGUUUAAUUGAGGAGCUGAUUUUUAUUCUCCAUUUAGCCGAAUCUACCUUGGUUUUCAUUUUUGAAUUAAAGUUGGAAUUUAGUUCAAUUUUUGCUUAGAUAUUAAGUCUUGAAUCUGUCCAUUCGGCUACUAGACUUUAGGCUAUAAAUAGUUGUUGAUUUUCUUGUAAAAGGACUUUUGGUCAAAUUUCUAAAUGAACUAUUGUUCUUGUGAGGUUUCUCCCUCUCAUAUUUCGUGUGAGUCUCGAUUUGGCUUAUCUAGCGUGCUAGUGGUGUCAACCGAACUCUUUCCGAACUUAUCACCAAUCCUGGUGUAGCGUUCAUCCAUUUCAAUAUACCUUCGGUUCUUACUUUGUUAAGUAACGAGUCGAUGUCCAUAUUCCUGUUUCCAUCUUUUCACUUUAAACCAUAUAAGAUUUGGGGCGAUACUCAUUAUAGUAUUGAAACUUUCUUGACGUUUAAGUUCUAUUUUCC